CGUCGCCCUCCCACGGGUGUUUCUGUAGCACCUGCCCCGCGCAGGCAGGACGGCGUUCUGGGGCGUGCAUGGCUGCCCCUCGCCGACCCGCCCACUGUGUUCCGGCGGAAGUGCGCCCACUGUGUUCCGGCGGAAGUGCCGUGUCAUCUUGGCGCGUUUCAGUCUCGUUUCACAAAUGCCAGAGCCAGACCCAGAGAGUUGAGAACCUGCCCGCCGUCUCACGGCCAGAAAGCCAGACUCCACAUCUUCCUGUCCUGCUCCACGUGCGGAAGCACCCGGAGCUGCUCCCCACCCGUGGCAGAGUGGCAGCCUCGGUCCCCGGUGCCUCACCAGGAACAUGACGGGCCGUUAAUCCAGGACAGACAUUUGGCACAGCUGUUACGAGACCUUGUGGGACACCGCCAGCCUCUGUUGCCGUAACUGGGUUCAAAUCCCGGCUCUGCUUCCAGCCACAGCUUCCUGCUGCACACCCUGGGAGGCCAGGUGGUGUCUCGGUUACUUGAGUCCCUGCCUCCACCGUCACGGCAGAUCUGGAUGGGGCUCUGCCUCUCCGGGCUUUGGCAUUUGGGGAGUGAACCAGCAGAUUGGGGGAAAAAAAAAAAAUCUGUCUCUUUCUGUCUUUCAAAUACGUCCAUAAAAUUUUUUUUCCAAAGCUUUUACUGUCCAUAAAAAUUUUUUAAAUAUUUUUGCACCAAAAUGAACUCCUCUUUAAUCCCACUGCAUGAGCUUUCCGAAGCGCCCUCACAGAGGGGCAGAGAGCAUGGCUAAGGGGUCAGGAAAGCCGCCCUGAGGAGGGGACGCUGGUGUUCCGUCUCAGGUGGAAGGGACAGCACAUGUGACAGCCAGGAGUGGCUGGAGCCCGGGCGCUGCGGCCGGAAGUGCAGGAGGCCUGGAUGGCUGGCGUCAGGCGCAGGGUGUGGCUGCAGGGGCUGCAGGCCCCACUGAGCCACCCUGGGGUCUGGGUCUCAGUUUGGGCCAAGGGAGGGCUCUAAGCCAGGAGGCAGCCCGACCUGACUUAAAUUCCGAAGCAGCGGCCCCACGCCUGCCGCGGUCCCAGCCCGAGAGCGGAGCUGCUGGUGCCGCGAGGCUCUGUGCGCGUAAACCGAAACCAGAUGGGUGUUCUUCUGCUUCCCAGGCAAUUGUUGGGCGCGAUCCCUCGCUCUGCCGCUCCCACACCCAGCGUGAUUGGAAAAUUCGGGGUCACUGCUGCCCAGAGCCCUCGCUGCGCGGGGAGCUUUCCAGCCUCGGGAACAACCCCCGUUCCUUACACGCCUCUCUCAUCAUCAUCAUCGCUGCUCGCUGCCUCAGACGCUCAGUGCCCCCACCCGCUCUGUCUGCCUUCCCCACCCCCAGGAUGUCGGCACAACCCAGCCCAGUGGGGGGCAGAUUUGUUCUCAGACACCACACGCGUGGCAGAACUGCCAAGGAGCGGUGGGAUUCGUGGUCAGGUGGAUCGGGGGGGUGGGGGGGAGCUGCAGGCGCUUUGGAGGCAGGAAGGGGUGGGCUUGUUCUGGUUCUGGCGAGAAGGUGGGCUGAGAUCACACACGCACACCCACGCCCUCGCUGCAAGCGUCUCAAAUGCUGGCUGAAGUGCUCACGGCCCCACCCACAAACGCUGAUGCAGGGCUGUGUCCAUCAGGAAGCAAGGACAGCCCCUGAUGAAGAGCGCUGAAAACCAGAACCCAGAGUGGAUGAGGCCAUGCUGGGGCCGGGCGGACGUCCAGACGAGGCACGGGCGUUGCAGGCCACGGCGCUGGGUCCCCCUGCCGCCUCUCGCUCCCCCAACCACCCUUUAACAAUGUAACAGCCAUCCUGAGCUCGAGGCUUGUACAGAAACCCACCAUGGCCAGGUUUGGUCCGUGGACCGCAGUCUGCACACCUGUGAUGCAGCCGAGGCGCCUGUCACCUGCCAGGGAGGGGAGCAGACCUAAGACCCCGAGCAGGGAGAGACCCUCACGCCACCAGAUCAUCAGCGAAGGAGGCCGCAGCACAGACAGCACCAGGCAGCCUGCCGGGUUGUUGUCUAGACCUUUCUGGGUGCUCACAAUCUUGGGGACACUGUGUUCACGUUUCGGGUUUAAGAUGGGCCUCAUCUCCCCAGCACCUAGAGGAGAUGAGGACGGGAUGUAGGAAGUCUGUGAGCUUAAGCGGAAAAGCCAGUUGCACUGUUGUUUUCAUUAACAUUUAGCAUUUUCUUCCAUUACAACCCACCGUGGUGUUGGCAGUGCCCAUUGCUUUGUCACUAGCAGAAAUCAGAUAUUUCCGUAGCAAAAUAGAGGAUGGGACGUACCUAUGGGUAGAGAAGCAUACUUCUGUGUAUUUGGAAAUUCAAGAAGGUCAGAGAGAUUGUUGUUGGAAUUUUUUUUUUUAAGUAUUUAGAAGUUAGAAACUGGCAGUGAAAUUAUCGCAUAUCAAAAUUUGUAGGCUUAGGGGCAUUUUUAAAGAGUAGAAAAUGAGUUAGUUUUCAAGGAAAUUGGAGGAGGGACAACAAAGCGAGUUGUAAGAACAUCUUUGGAGUUAAUAAAAAUAAAAGCCAAAAUUUGUAAAACAACAGCUGCCAGGGACGAUCCACAGGGCUGAAACUCGUUCUUGGAAAAGAUGAAUUGGUAGAAAAGGAGGACGCACGCUUGUGGCGAGGGUGCUGAAGAACAGACGUACUGCAAAUGCAGAGACACGAAUGGGGCAUUUAAGUUGUAGGAGGACCCGGUGGGCAGUACGCCCGUCAUCUUGAGAAAGCUGGCUCUUUCUAGAACCAUGUAACUUAACCAGACCAACUCGAGGAAAAGGGAAAACAGGACUCCCAACAGGAGACAUGGACCCCGGCGUGCCGCCAGGAGCCCGAGCAGCCAGUCAUUCCUCCAUUCAUUCGACAAACUCUGAGUCUCCACUCCGGGCGUUGUUGGUAGAUGCUGGCAGCAGAGCAGUGAAAACCCCAUCCUGCGCCUUUCCUGUGAUGGAAGAAGGGUUCUUUGAUUGUCUCAGUCCAGUGUGACAGCCACUGGCCAGCCCUGACUGUUGGGCUUGUGCAGUGCGGUUAGUGCAACUGAGAAACUGAAGUUUUGACUUUAUUUUUUUUAAAUUAUUUAUUUAAAAGGCAGACUGACAGAUCUUCUGUCCUCUGGUUCACUCCCCAAAUGCCUAAAGCAGCCAGGGGCUGGGCCACGCCAAAGCCAGGACCUAGGAGCUCCAUCGGGGUCUCCCACAUGGGUGGCAGAAACGCAGAUACGGGGACCCUCAUCUGCUGCCUCCCAGGUCCAUUUGCAGGACGCUGGAUUGGAAGCAGAGGAGGGACUCAAUCCCAAGCACUCCGGUACGAGAGGUGGACUAACCCUCCUGUGCCACAGCACCCACCCCAGCUUUGGUAACUUGGUUUCUAUGGCAACACUGGGGCAGUGAGCAUGGAAGGCGGUGAGCUCCUUGCACAAGUGCCGUGUGCUCUUGGGCCCACUUCAUCAGUGCCACGCAAGGGAGCUGGCAAUCGUAAGAGCCAGACACGUGGCCCCGUGCAGGAGGGCAGAGGCUGCACCUUGUGUUCCAGGAAACACUAAUACAAAAACCACAGAUAAGAAGCAACGGCCCUCUGGUGUGUGUGUGGUGGGGGGGAUACAUCUCCAGGUGGGGGCUCGAGGAUCCUGGGCUCGGGAGGCCAGGGUGAAGCCACGUGGAGAGUGGAUUCCGGAAGCAGCACCUCUCUGCUUCCUCGACGCUCCAUCAGGGCGCGAUCCGACUGGGCAGUGGGAGUGGCCGUCUUCAGCAGCUCCUGCUCUCAUACGGAAUGGGAGGCCCCCCCCCCCAGCCUCGGAUCAGGAGGAGCCCUACCUGAGCCCCCUGAGGUCAGCUUUCCCCGGAGCCACCCUUGGGCUCGGAGGGUGCACCUCCCACCAACGGUGUGAUGCUUUCUGGCACGAGUCAUCGAAAGAGGACUUCUCCUGCUUCUGUU